rnacentral:snRNA from 1 species
GCGCUUGCUUCGGCAGCACGUAUACUAAAAUUGGAACAAUAUAGAGAAGAUUAGCAUGGCCCCUGAGCAAGGAUGACACGCAAAUUCAUGAAGCGUUCCAAAAAAAA